CGGCAGCAGCAGCAGUGGAAUAAACCUCUUCUCCGGCAACGUCACAGUUCCCUAUGAAAACUUGCAAGUAUUUAACUACUCGCUCUCGCUCCUGGCCAUCGGUGUCCUCAUCGGGGCCCUGAUUUCCCUGGUGCUGGAAAUGGCCCGGAAUGGCCCGACGUCCAUCGCUGACGCUAUUGUUAGAGGCGUAGAUGUUAUAGGACUUGACGGCUUGUUUAACAACGUCGGCUCUGCUCUUGAGAGAGGCGUGAACAGCAUCCCAGUUAAAAGGACUGGACCUGUACACGAAGUACCAGUUGGCACUAGACGUCGACGCCGUUGAAUAGAGUUCGCGACACGUUUUCCUUGAAGACGUGAUGUGGAUCGCUUUGAAAAUGACCUGACCUGACCUUUGACAUCUACGACUUCUGUGACGAGGACCUUGCCGACGACUCUCCUACGUAAGACGAAGAAUCCGACAAUGACCUUAACGGCAUGAAGUGUGGAAAAAAAUGACCUUCCAUACGACAGAUGGAAACAACAUUACUGUGAAUGGAAACUUUAAUACUUCAAUGACUUUUAGUGCUUACAUCGAAACAUUAACGAUAUGACCUUUGACAAUACCGACUUCUGUGACGAGGACCUUGCGGAUGACUCUCCUACAUAAGACGAAGACUAUGACAAUGCCCAUAACGACAAGAAGCGUGGAAAAAAUCGACCUUGAGACGACAGAUAGAAACAUUACUUUGAGUGGAAACUUUCAUACUUCAAUGGCCUUUAAGGCUUACAUACAAACAUAAAUAACCUGAAUAAUCAUAUACUGAAUGACCAUUAUGAAAUCUUGUACUGAUGACUUAGGGAACAGACUUUUGGACGAGAUUGACGAUGAAUGACCGACUUGAUGACGUGACUUACGAGGCAAUAAUGAGUGACUGUCUUGAUAACGAAAUACGACAGAAAUGUAGAUAUUACACUAGCUUACCUGAUGACUUUUGAGACACUACGAUUAAAUUGUUUUAGACGAUACAUUACCGCGUGACACCUGGUGACCUGUGACGAUGAGUUUAUGAAAUACUGUAGAGACCUAUUUAAAAUAACGACGACAAACAGUGAAAUAAAGCAAUAAUAGCAAACGAAACAGUCAGUAAAGGUGAAUAUAUGAAUUUUGCAUCAGAAUCAUUCGAAUCUGGAUUAUAAAACUUUUUUUUUCAUUCGUAAAUCCACGGAGGAUAAAUCAAUAUACUGAAAUACUUUCCUUCAUUUAACUUCCACUCACCAAAGGAAGUUGUUUGUACUUUUAAAUUCUAAAACCUUUUUUUUAAAUGACUUAUAUAAUUGCGAUUUAGAUUUUGUUCAUAAACUA